GAUUUAUUUAAUACACAAGUUCCACAAUUUGAAUUACUGAAAUAAAUGAACUUUUCCAUUACAUUCUAAUUUAUUGAGAUGCACUUGUAUAUGAGAGGAUGAAAGAGGAGGAGUUUAACAUCUCAGAUGAUCUUGUUAGUUUUGCUAGACUGUCACAAAGCUCAGUCCUGCUGCAGUGAACACACACAUGUACAAUGAUACUUCAUUCAGUCAUUCUGAUCUCUGCCUUGGCAUGUGUGAGUUUUGGAGAUGAAAUCACACCAGACAGCACUGAAGAGUCUGCUGCAGAGGGUUCAACUCUUACAUUAUCCUGCAGUUAUUCAUCUGCAGAUUAUCUAUACUGGUACCGUCAGUAUCCCGGAUCAGCUCCUCAAUUCCUUGUGCUCAUCUCAGACAGUGCAAAAAACCCCGAAGAGUCUUAUGUAGAUUCCAGAUUCACUACUGAGAUCAGAAAAGAAAAAGAAAACCAUGUGGAUCUGAUCAUCUCCUCUGCUGCAGUAUCAGACUCUGCUCUGUAUUACUGUGCUCUGGAGCCCACAGUCACAGGAAACACAAGAUCACUGUACAAAAACCUGCUUCUGCUCAGAGUGAGAAAUCAAUGGUCUUCUACAGUUCAGGAGAAAUGGGGCCGUUAAUCUUGAAUUUUACCCAGAGUAUACCAAAUAGCAUCUCGCCCAUUCAAAGAAGCAUUUUGAGCAUUUUGAAAUGCAAAUGCAUUAUUAUUUAAAGUGAAAAAAAGUGUUUGUAUAAAUAAAAAAUAUUUGCAUGUACAAAAAGUGUCCAAUAUAGAAUCAAGUCACACCUUCAGAAAUAAUGACCCACCCUCAUGAAUCUUUUUGUUUUUAUGUGGAGUGAAACAUCAGUUACUGUAUUAUCACAAAUAGCUAUUAAAAUGAUUCAAAAUCUGCUAAAGGGGUAAAAAUGGAACAACAGCUUUAAAAAAAAUUGAUUUUUUAUUAUUAUUAUUUAAAACAGGAUCUGCAUUUUCAUAGGUUUAAAUAAAAUAUUUUUGAUAUAAGAGACAAUAAAAACAACUUUUUGCAUCAAAAUCACUCUGUUACUGGUUAAAAAAAGAACUUGCGUUUCAAAAGUCAAAUAGUUUGCGACAGCUGAAUGUAACAGUUUUGGCAAGCCAAACAGUCUCUGAGUAAAAUUAUUUAUUAUUCAUAUACAUUUAAGCCACAAAAUAACUUAAUUCUGUAAAAUAAUUACUGACUGUAAAGCAAGUGCAAAUUAUAGUGUAUAACUGAUAAUCAGUGUUGAUGGAGACCUGUGGCUUCACUGUAUUUCCUCAACUGAUUGCAAACAGCAUGAUUUCACAGUUAUGUUUUUUUCACCAGGUGUGUUCAACCUGAAGCAGCGCUGGACAGAACGAUCAGUGUAUGACACCAAAGUACAGAGAGAGCGAUUAGAGAGCAGACGGCUCAGUGAAUGCUUUUGAAUCGCUCUCCCUGUACUUUGGUGUCAUUUACCGAUCGGUCUGUCCAGCGCUGCUUCAAGUCGAACACACCUAUUGUCGUGUUUAGUUUCUAGUCUUAGUUUUUAUUGUCUGUAUUUGCUUGUGUUCGAGUCAUUCAUUAGUUGUCGUUUCUCAUUAGUUCUCACCUGUUCCCUGUUUUCUUUUGAUUGCCAUCCUCUUGUGUAUAUUAGCCCUCUGUGUCUUGAGUUCAUUGUCUUGUGUUAAAGUUAUGUGUAUUCUGUCGUUCUUUGUGUUUAUAUUAUUAUUGUUUAUCCUGCAUCACACAUCAUCCUUAGAUUUAACAACAUACAACCUGUGACACAUGACUUUUUUGAAAAGUUUCUGGAUAGUAAAGGCAAUUCUGAAAUAAACAGGGCAAAUGAGACCCCAAUCCCAUAAAAGUGCAGAUAGGAGUGGAAAUUUUGUGGGUGAUUUAUUGACAAUGCACAAAUUAAAGAACACAGACGCAGCCAAUUCAAGCACAAAAUGGGUUGAGAUAUGCUUUUUUCAGCAUUAAAUAUUAGUGCAAAUGCCAGUAUAUUGAUAAAUGCAAACCUUAGUAAAUCAUGUUGCAUGAUUUAUUUAAAUAUUCUCCC